rnacentral:lncRNA from 1 species
CAGCAAAGAAGGCCCACACUGACACCAUGAUCUUGGAGGUGGUCCCCUUUGGGUUCUGCACAGCAAACCCAUCAUUUACCUAAGAAGGCAGAAGGUGAGACAGUCCCAUUGCUGCGUGACACCAUGACACUGAUGCCUGUCUCUAUGAAGGGCACAGAGAAGUCGACCACCUCCGAUCGUUCCUCAUUGAUGAUGGCUACAGAGGAGUUUGAUGACUUGCCCAAGCUCCCACGGUAAGUGACUUGAAGCUGAGCAGUCUGACUCCAGAGCUUGGACUCCUACCCACCACUCUGCACUGCUUCUCUGACAAUGAAGGAGUAAGACAUGUUCCUUUUCCUCCAAGGACAGUCUAGAGGGAAAAGACACUAUCCAUCGACAAUAAUAGGCUUUGGCUGAACACCUGAAUAGCUGGG